GAUGAACGCUGACAGAAUGCUUAACACAUGCAAGUCUACUUGAAUUUGGGUUUUUUAACUUAGAUUUGGGUGGCGGACGGGUGAGUAACGCGUAAAAAACUUGCCUCACAGUUAGGGACAACAUUUGGAAACGAAUGCUAAUACCUGAUAUUAUGAAUAUAUGGCAUCAUAUAAUUAUGAAAGCUAUAAGCGCUGUGAGAGAGCUUUGCGUCCCAUUAGCUAGUUGGAGAGGUAACGGCUCACCAAGGCGAUGAUGGGUAGCCGGCCUGAGAGGGUGAACGGCCACAAGGGGACUGAGACACGGCCCUUACUCCUACGGGAGGCAGCAGUGGGGAAUAUUGGACAAUGGACCAAGAGUCUGAUCCAGCAAUUCUGUGUGCACGAUGACGUUUUUCGGAAUGUAAAGUGCUUUCAGUUGGGAAGAAAAAAAUGACGGUACCAACAGAAGAAGUGACGGCUAAAUACGUG
rnacentral:rRNA from 1 species